GUCUCUCUGGCUUAUGUUUAUAGAGAGUCUGACCUGCCCAGUGAUUAAUUUUUUUUAACGGCCGCAGUACCCUGACUGUGCAAAGGUAGCAUAAUAAAUUGCCUUUUAAUUGAAGGCUGGUAUGAAAGGUUUGACGAAAGCAUUACUGUCUCAUUUAUUUUUUCUAAAAAUUGUUUUUUAAGUUAAAAAGCUUAAAUUUUAUUGAAAGACGAGAAGACCCUAUCGAGCUUAAAAGAAAUGUAUAAAUUAUAGAUAUGCUCUGGAGCUUAUAAAUUUUAACAGAAUUUUGGUUGGGGCGACCGUGGAGUAAAGAAAUCCUCCAUUAAAGCAACUAAAAAUUAUAGUUUUAGAUCCAGUUUUGAAAAUACUGAUAAAAGGAAUUAGUUACCGUAGGGAUAACAGCGUAAUUCUAUUAGAGAGAUCUUAUCGAAAAUAGAGAUUGCGACCUCGAUGUUGGAUUAAAAAUUACAGAAAGGUGCAGAAGCUUUUAUGUGUUGGUCUGUUCGACCAUUAAAUUUUU
rnacentral:rRNA from 1 species